rnacentral:lncRNA from 1 species
CAAAAUAGAAACUAAGCGUGGUAGUAGGGCUAGCCCAAAGGUGGCCAAAUCUGAAUGCUUUCUUCUGGGCCUGCUGCCAAGAGGAGAGCUAGCUGCCUGAUGGGGGCCUGCUAUGCUUCCUCUAAAACCUCCUUAUUUGGGGGUUCUCCCCAGAGACAGGGAAGAAAAUCCAGGGGGAGGCAUCAGCCUUGGAAGCCAGCACCAUCUGGUUUCUCACGCUGGUGGAAAGCAUGCGAGACAGGCAUGCUUGCAGAGAACAGGCGUCGCCUUCACAUCUCUGGCACAUCCAGGGUCACCCCGUCACCCCCACAUAAAGGGGCAGCAGAGGUGGCCCAGUGACCAGCCGUGCAGAGUGGUGACUGGCUGAUAGUGCAUCUCUUCUCAGUUUCACUUUUCUGACUCAGCCACAGCUUUGUUCCUAUCUUGCAGCUGCCUGGGAAUUUAGCUGGUCAGAUCAUUUUUAGUAUGUAAUCAUCUGACAUGCUAAGUGUCUGUGUGUGCCCUGGGACCCGGGGAUGGCGAUCUGACCUCGCCCUGUUCUUGUCUAGGAAACAC